rnacentral:tRNA from 2 species
GCCCGAUUAGCUCAGCUGGCCAGAGCAGUUGACUCUUAAUCAAUUGGUCCGGGGUUCGAAUCCCCGAUCGGGUACCA